CAGCAGUAACUUGCGUACUAGGACCUGGUAAUGCUUGCACCAAAGUAGGACAUCCCCUGGAAUUAACAUCACCAUGUCCAAGUUGCCCAUGCUGUCCAUAUCCAAAUGUGUAAACAUCACCAUUCUCCAUCAAAAUCACUGAAUGGUGAAAUCCACAACUGACUUGUACAGCCCGCAGCUCACAGUCAAAGCGAACGGCCCCUGGUGGAUAGGUUGUAAUUUUGCUUGCAUCCUUCUCACCUCUUUCUCCACUUCCGUCUUUGUGCUUGUCCCGCUUAUGCUUUAGCUGUGCU
rnacentral:lncRNA from 1 species